AUGACGGCUUGACCGUGCAGCUUCAAAACACUGAAGCUGCACUGACGAGCUUUCACCC
rnacentral:ncRNA from 2 species